ACGCACGCUGGCGGCGUGCUUAACACCUGCAAGUCGAACGGAAAGGCCCCAGCUUGCUGGGGUACUCGAGUGGCGAACGGGUGAGUAACACGUGGGUGAUCUGCCCUGCACUCUGGGAUAAGCCUGGGAAACUGGGUCUAAUACCGGAUAGGACCGUGCUUUAGUGUGUGCGGUGGAAAGUUUUUCGGUGCAGGAUGAGCCCGCGGCCUAUCAGCUUGUUGGUGGGGUAAUGGCCUACCAAGGCGGCGACGGGUAGCCGGCCUGAGAGGGUGUACGGCCACCUUGGGACUGAGACACGGCCCAGACUCCUACGGGAGGCAGCAGUGGGGAAUAUUGCACAAUGGGCGCAAGCCUGAUGCAGCGGCGCCGCGUGGGGGAUGACGGCCUUCGGGUUGUAAACCCCUUUCGGCAGGGACGAAGCUUUUGUGACGGUACCUGCAUAAGAAGCACCGGCUAACUACGUG
rnacentral:rRNA from 1 species